rnacentral:rRNA from 1 species
AUUGAACGCUGGCGGCAGGCUUAACACAUGCAAGUCGAGGGGCAGCAUGGUCUUAGCUUGCUAAGGCCGAUGGCGACCGGCGCACGGGUGAGUAACACGUAUCCAACCUGCCGUCUACUCUUGGACAGCCUUCUGAAAGGAAGAUUAAUACAAGAUGGCAUCAUGAGUCCGCAUGUUCACAUGAUUAAAGGUAUUCCGGUAGACGAUGGGGAUGCGUUCCAUUAGAUAGUAGGCGGGGUAACGGCCCACCUAGUCUUCGAUGGAUAGGGGUUCUGAGAGGAAGGUCCCCCACAUUGGAACUGAGACACGGUCCAA